rnacentral:rRNA from 1 species
GAUUUCUGGUUGACCAUGCUGGCCCGCGUCCUCACGGGCGUGUGUGCUGGUAUGAGUCUUCCAUCCUUCUAGAGAGCCGUGCCUGCUGUUCAUUCAGCUGGGCAUGUGCGAUCUAGAUCAUUUACUUUGAAAAAAUUAGAGUGUUUAAAGCAGGCUUAUGCCAGAAUACAUUAGCAUGGAAUAAUAAAAUAGGACUUCGGUUCUAUUUUGUUGGUUUCUAGAACUGAAGUAAUGAUUGAUAGGGAUAGUUGGGGGUGCUAGUAUUCAGUGGCCAGAGGUGAAAUUCUUGGAUUCACUGAAGACUAACUACUGCGAAAGCAUU